rnacentral:rRNA from 2 species
GUGCACGGUCAUAGCGGAGGUGUAUACCCGGUCCCAUCUCGAACCCGGAAGUCAAGCCCUCCUGCGUCUUUCCUUGUACUGUGGUGCGAGAGCCCACGGAAACGGUAGUCACUGUGCCCC